GGCUACUGAUCUUCUCAUGCGAGAAGAGAACUUGGGAUCUGGCCACAGGACCUUGUGCUGCCAGUGGUGGUGUGGCUUUCUGGCUUGUUCAGUCCUCAGUCCUUGCUGACAGAGUUAAGCACAAGUUUAAAUAAAAAGAUAAAAAAAUCAGCUAAAUACCAGAAUAACCAUCUCCUGGAAGCAAGAGGAACAAUCCAAACUCAUCUCCAGUUUCCUCAGAAGCAUGAAGACAAAGCAGUUGUAAUGCAGAGUAUGGCACGCAAGAACAACUGGCCUUUGGAUAAGGUGGGCUUGACUGAAGAUGUUACCAAAAAGACCAAAGAAGAUUAUGGCCACCCACAAAGGGAAGGAGCGUGUAUCUUUCAUGGAAGAUAACACGUUUUUCUUCAGCAUGAAGAAAGAACACCACAGUACAUCAGAAACACUCCUGCUAGAACAUGAGGUUUACACAGAAGAGACAGAGAAAAAGAAGUCAACAUAAACAUUCACACAUAAGUGACUGCCUUUACCAGAACUCCUUUCUUGUUCAC